rnacentral:tRNA from 1 species
UCCCUGGCAGUCCAGGGGUUAGGACUCUGCGCUUCCACUGCAGGGGACACAGGUUCGAUCCCUGGUUAGGGAA